CCAGUUCUCACUACAUAGUGUCCCAAAAGAUUGGGCCUGCUCUUUCUUUCAGAGACAAUUAGGAAAAAAGUAAACAAACGGAGCAGGAUUUGGGCAUAACAGCAUGCUCCUCCCAUCCCCCAAAUCCCAGGAGUGUCACUGAGUAAUGUCUUACAAUAACAGAAUGCAGGAGAGCACAUAUCAAUGAAGAAAAGACAAAAUGUACUUAUCCAUGAAGCUGAGGUUAAGAAACCAGUGUCUUCAAGAGCCAGGGACAGCACUGGGUCUGUGCAGAGUUGAGAGAUGGUGAUGACAUGGUGAGACACAAAUUCAGUCUAUUUCAUAGUUUGUGGUCAUUCCUAUUAAUAAACUUCCUUUCACAACUGUUUCAAUAUUCACACAAAAAUGUUAACCCAAUCUGCAGUUGUACCCCUUGAAUGUAAAAUAAAAAACAAAAGCCCACAAAAAUAGGAAUCCACACUUAAAAGGUGGAUUUAUUUAGCACAGUAUGGAGUUUCUUAGACUUCUCUAUCACUGUCUCUAACAAUGACAUACUCACCUAACCCCACUAAGAGCAACUUUAUUUCAUCUCUAGUUUUCGUCUAAAGAUUCAUGUGGAUUUUAGAUUCUACUCUUUUGUAGGUUCGUAUUUGUACUAUUAUAAAAUGUGACUCUCUCUCCAAACUUUGCCUAAAUUAUGGAAUGAUUUUUCAUGUUUAUCCAGUGGUUUCCAGCAUUCUUGGCCCAGUCUGGGAUUCUACUCUUUUGUAGGUUCGUAUUUGUACUAUUAUAAAAUGUGACUCUCUCUCCAAACUUUGCCUAAAUUACGGAAUGAUUUUUCAUGUUUAUGCAGUGGUUUCCAGCAUUCCUCACCCAGUCCAGGGACACUGUGGGUGUGCCCAGCUUAAGUCCAGUAACUGGAAAUACAAGCCCAAGUUCUGGAGAGUUUGAGCUGCAG
rnacentral:lncRNA from 1 species